UCUGAGCUCUUCGUUCAAAAUUCCUGCAGAUGGGCCCGUGGAUGGCGCCUGUGCCUGAUUCACGUAGUACAAGCAUAGCAACAAAGUGAGAAGGACCGCGCAGACGACGAAAACGCGGCUUGAACCGCGUCGAAGGAUCUUGUACAUGGUACGAAAGUUGGAUUCGCUUCGGGGCAGGCGUUCCUCGAUUUCGAUUCACCUGGUGCCGCGAUAUUGGCUCGAUCCCGUGUCGGUUAUGCUCGACAAUCGCUCCCCGACUUUGCCGCUGUCGCCUGUCGACUUCAUGAGAUACUUUGGCGCCGACACGAUCUGAAAGAAGAAAAGUUAAACGAAAUUAAUAGAUUUUGGAUGUAAAAAAUAGACGAUUUAUCGGAUACGGUCGUUCCGAUAUAUUAUUACGAGGAAUAUCGAGAUUCGAAAAGCGAGAUCGAAUAGUAUCGAAUAAAAGAAGAGGACGAGAGGCACGAUAUUAAAAAGAGUAAAUCGUUCAAAUAACCAGAAUCAUUAGAAAAGUUCGAAGGAUGAAAAUUAUUGGGGAUUGAGAAGGAUUGGAGAAGUCGUAAAAAUUUUAAGAACACGUGUAUCUAAAUUGAAAUGAGCGAGAAGAAAUGAGGACGAGGAAGGAACGAUCCAAUUCCGAUGAGAACAAUAAAUACGACCUGGUGAACCAGAGACACGGUUUCCCAGAAACCUUCUGUCUCUCGACGUAAGGUCGGUUCGCACGCGAUAAUCGAUCGUACCUGUCACCACCGACCCUGGCUGAAGAACGAGCCGCGAUUUACACAUUGAAAACUCGAAUAUCGAUUUACUUUUCGUUUGAAUUAUAUUGAAAUUACAAUCGUUAGAAGAUAAUGACGAUAAAUAAAUUCGCGAUCCAAUUUCUUCUCAUAUUUAUGUACAUCUAUUUUCUUUAUAAAUCUAAUAAUUAUUUAACAACAAACGAAUACAAUAUGUAUUAAAAAAUAAUCAGACUCUGUAUUAAAUUGAUGAUAAUUUUGUACGUUUCUUUUAAUUCCAAUAAUUUGUUUAUAUAUUUACACAUACAUCAUUUUUAAAUAAUUUUUUCGUAAAUCUAAUAUUUUUAAUAAUAUCGUCAAUAUUAUCUUCCAUUGUAAUUUCAAUCCAACUCGAAAUUAAUACAAAUCCAGGAAGCCAAACGUUUUUAUUAAAACUCAAAUUUAAUCCAAGGAUUUGAAUAAACGUAACCAAAUAUUUUUCUUAAA